AUGUACUUGGGACUCAGCUGUGUUCUCAUUGUUGUUCUCUUAAAAGGUGUCCAGAGUGAAGUGAAGAUUGAGGAGUCUGGAGGAGGCUUGGUGCAACCUGGAGGAUCCACGAAACUCUCUUGUGCAGCCUCUGGUUUCACUUUUAGUGAUUACAGAAUGGACUGGGUCCACCAGUCUCCAGAUAAGGGGUUGGAGUGGAUUGGUGAAAUUAAAAACAAAGCUAAUAAUUAUGCAACAUAUUAUGCAGAGUCUGUGAACAGCAGAUUCACCAUCUCAAGAGAUGAUUCCAAAAGUAGUGUCUACCUGUAAAUGAACAGCUUAAGAGCUGAAGAUACUGGCAUUUAUUACUGUACAAGGCACAAU